AGGAAGGACUCUGGAUCCACACUAGGUAG
rnacentral:piRNA from 1 species